CCUACGGGGGGCUGCAGUGGGGAAUAUUGGACAAUGGGGGCAACCCUGAUCCAGCCAUGCCGCGUGUGUGAAGAAGGCCCUCGGGUUGUAAAGCACUUUCAGUGAGGAAGAACGCCUGGUGGUUAAUACCCAUCAGGAAAGACAUCACUCACAGAAGAAGCACCGGCUAACUCCGUGCCAGCAGCCGCGGUAAUACGGAGGGUGCGAGCGUUAAUCGGAAUUACUGGGCGUAAAGCGCGCGUAGGUGGCUUGAUAAGCCGGUUGUGAAAGCCCCGGGCUCAACCUGGGAACGGCAUCCGGAACUGUCAAGCUAGAGUGCAGGAGAGGAAGGUAGAAUUCCCGGUGUAGCGGUGAAAUGCGUAGAGAUCGGGAGGAAUACCAGUGGCGAAGGUGGCCUUCUGGACUGACACUGACACUGAGGUGCGAAAGCGUGGGUAGCAAACAGGAUUAGAUACCCCUGUAGUC
rnacentral:rRNA from 1 species